CAGGCUUAACACAUGCAAGUCGAGGGGCAUCAGGAAGAAAGCUUGCUUUCUUUGCUGGCGACCGGCGCACGGGUGAGUAACACGUAUCCAACCUGCCCUUUACUCGGGGAUAGCCUUUCGAAAGAAAGAUUAAUACCCGAUGGCAUAAUGAUUCCGCAUGGUUUCAUUAUUAAAGGAUUCCGGUAAAGGAUGGGGAUGCGUUCCAUUAGGUUGUUGGUGAGGUAACGGCUCACCAAGCCUUCGAUGGAUAGGGGUUCUGAGAGGAAGGUCCCCCACAUUGGAACUGAGACGCGGUCCAAACUCCUACGGGAGGCAGCAGUGAGGAAUAUUGGUCAAUGGGCGCUAGCCUGAACCAGCCAAGUAGCGUGAAGGAUGAAGGCUCUAUGGGUCGUAAACUUCUUUUAUAUAAGAAUAAAGUGCAGUAUGUAUACUGUUUUGUAUGUAUUAUAUGAAUAAGGAUCGGCUAACUCCGUGCCAGCAGCCGCGGUAAUACGGAGGAUCCGAGCGUUAUCCGGAUUUAUUGGGUUUAAAGGGAGCGUAGGUGGACUGGUAAGUCAGUUGUGAAAGUUUGCGGCUCAACCGUAAAAUUGCAGUUGAUACUGUCAGUCUUGAGUACAGUAGAGGUGGGCGGAAUUCGUGGUGUAGCGGUGAAAUGCUUAGAUAUCACGAAGAACUCCGAUUGCGAAGGCAGCUCACUGGACUGCAACUGACACUGAUGCUCGAAAGUGUGGGUAUCAAACAGGAUUGGAUACCCUGGUAGUCCACACAGUAAACGAUGAAUACUCGCUGUUUGCGAUAUACAGUAAGCGGCCAAGCGAAAGCAUUAAGUAUUCCACCUGGGGAGUACGCCGGCAACGGUGAAACUCAAAGGAAUUGACGGGGGCCCGCACAAGCGGAGGAACAUGUGGUUUAAUUCGAUGAUACGCGAGGAACCUUACCCGGGCUUAAAUUGCAGUGGAAUGAUGUGGAAACAUGUCAGUGAGCAAUCACCGCUGUGAAGGUGCUGCAUGGUUGUCGUCAGCUCGUGCCGUGAGGUGUCGGCUUAAGUGCCAUAACGAGCGCAACCCUUAUCUUUAGUUACUAACAGGUUAUGCUGAGGACUCUAGAGAGACUGCCGUCGUAAGAUGUGAGGAAGGUGGGGAUGACGUCAAAUCAGCACGGCCCUUACGUCCGGGGCUACACACGUGUUACAAUGGGGGGUACAGAAGGCAGCUAGCGGGUGACCGUAUGCUAAUCCCAAAAGCCUCUCUCAGUUCGGAUCGAAGUCUGCAACCCGACUUCGUGAAGCUGGAUUCGCUAGUAAUCGCGCAUCAGCCACGGCGCGGUGAAUACGUUCCCGGGCCUUGUACACACCGCCCGUCAAGCCAUGGGAGCCGGGGGUACCUGAAGUACGUAACCGCAAGGAUCGUCCUAGGGUAAAACUGGUGACUGGGGC
rnacentral:rRNA from 1 species